rnacentral:tRNA from 1 species
AAUAAGAUGCCUGAAAAAAGGAUUAUUUUGAUGUAAUAAACUAUGUAAACUUAAAUUACUCUUAUUA